rnacentral:rRNA from 1 species
GAUGAACGCUGGCGGCGUGCCUAAUACAUGCCAGUAGAACGCUGAAGGAGGAGCUUGCUCUUCUGGAUGAGUUGCGAACGGGUGAGUAACGCGUAGGUAACCUGCCUGGUAGCGGGGGAUAACUAUUGGAAACGAUAGCUAAUACCGCAUGACAACAGUUAUUGCAUGAUAACUGUUUAAAAGGGGCAACUGCUCCACUACCAGAUGGACCUGCGUUGUAUUAGCUAGUUGGUGAGGUAACGGCUCACCAAGGCGACGAUACAUAGCCGACCUGAGAGGGUGAUCGGCCACACUGGGACUGAGACACGGCCCAGACUCCUACGGGAGGCAGCAGUAGGGAAUCUUCGGCAAUGGACGGAAGUCUGACCGAGCAACGCCGCGUGAGUGAAGAAGGUUGUCGGAUCGUAAAGCUCGGUUGUAAGAGAAGAACGAGUGUGAGAGUGGAAAGUUCACACUGUGACGGUAUCUUACCAGAAAGGGACGGCUAACUACGUG